AGAUUAAACUGAAGAGUUUGAUCCUGGCUCAGAUUGAACGCUGGCGGCAUGCCUUACACAUGCAAGUCGAACGGUAACAGGUCUUCGGAUGCUGACGAGUGGCGAACGGGUGAGUAAUACAUCGGAACGUGCCCAGUAAUGGGGGAUAGCUCGGCGAAAGCCGGAUUAAUACCGCAUACGCCCUGAGGGGGAAAGUGGGGGACCGCAAGGCCUCACGUUAUUGGAGCGGCCGAUGGCUGAUUAGCUAGUUGGUAGGGUAAAGGCCUACCAAGGCGACGAUCAGUAGCUGGUCUGAGAGGACGAUCAGCCACACUGGGACUGAGACACGGCCCAGACUCCUACGGGAGGCAGCAGUGGGGAAUUUUGGACAAUGGGGGAAACCCUGAUCCAGCAAUGCCGCGUGUGCGAAGAAG
rnacentral:rRNA from 1 species